GCCAGAUUGGCCAUUUCCUUUCUUAUUUUCCCUCGGGAGCAAGAAAUUAAGCAAAUACAUUGUAAGCUAUAGCACACAGCAAUUGUGCUCUGUUUCCCACCAUUCUUAUAAAUCCUGAUCCUUCCUUUAAGAUUUCUGUGGUUGGUGUAUAAUAGUGCAACAUGUUCUUCCCUGCCUCCUGUCACCCCAGCCCCCUGUUUUCCCAGCGUCUGCAGAGUCCGGGCUGCAAACUCACACAGACCAUAAUCCUUUAAGCCUCACAUCCCACGGGAGAAUUAAGGACAAGGAGGGAUGCAACUGUGGAUGUCAGAGAGGGGACGGACAACAGGGACAGGGAGAUGAGCAGGGGGAGGAUAUGAGUACAUGGGCAGGCGCUGGGUGCUGCCAGGGUGGCUGUGAGAGCCUGCCCUCCCUCCUGCCCCUGCAUUUCUGGCUCAGAGGGAGGGCAGGGCUAGGCAGAAAGCACACUGGGGAGGCAUGGAAGGACUUUGAGGUUAUAAUCCACAGAAACUUGGGCAAAAUGGUAACUGGGGUAGGUACAAUGUCUGUAAACCACUUAUCUCUACAGCCUCGGUGCAGGGAAGGCACACUGUUUCUCUCCCCCACAUCCAUGCACACUUCUCUCUCUGACAACACUCAGGAAACAGCCACAGGAGGACUACAUACAACAUGAGGGCUCUUUAGCCUCAACCUUUUUCUAUCUGGGAAUAGAGAAGGUUGGACAUCUG
rnacentral:lncRNA from 1 species